rnacentral:rRNA from 1 species
AUUGAACGCUGGCGGCAGGCCUAACACAUGCAAGUCGAGCGGAGCGGCGGACGGGGGAGUAAUGCCUAGUAAUCUGCCUGGUAGUGGGGGAUAACGUCCGGAAACGGGCGCUAAUAACGCAUAAGAUCAGAUGUGCCUAGGUCGGAUUAGCUAGUUGGUGGGGUAAAGGCCUACCAAGGCGACGAUCCGUAACUGGUCCGAGAGGAUGAUCAGUCACACUGGAACUGAGACACGGUCCAGACUCCUACGGAAGGCAGCAGUGGGGAAUAUUGGACAAUGGGCGAAAGCCUGAUCGAGCCAUGCCGCGUGUAUGAAGAAGGCCUUCGGUUUGUAAAGGACUUUCAGCGGGGAGGCGUUACCCGCAGAAGAAGCACCGGCUAACUCCGUGCCAGCAGCCGCGGUAAUAC